AGGCUGGCGUGCGCUGCCAGCGGCUCCCAGCACGGACUGCGGAGUGUAAGGCUGGCGUGCGCUGCCAGCCCUGUGCCACUGAGCAGACUGU